CGAGGGGGACUUCACGCCAGCCCGGUAGCUCGUCAGGCUCAUAACCUGAAGGCCGCAGGUUCAAAUCCUGCCCCCGCAACCA
rnacentral:tRNA from 1 species